rnacentral:misc_RNA from 1 species
GUGUUUCUGGUUAUUAAUUUAGAAAUGGUCAUGCGUACUGUUAAAAUAUCUACUUUGUGCAUAAAUAGGGGGUCAAGUUUGAAAUCUUAGAAAAUCAUGUGGUGCUUGAACUAUGGACUACUGUGCUAGAACAUCUGAGCAUACUGAAUUUCCAGUCUUAAAUUAGCGGCUGUAUCCCGGAUAGUAGUUGCAUGUCUUUUUUCCAUCAGUGCAGUAUAAUCGCACUGAUAUAU